AAAGCGUGCGCAGGCGGUUUGUAAGACUGUCGUGAAAUCCCCGGGCCUCAACCUGGGAAUGGCGAUGGUGACUGCAAGGCUAGAGUUUGGCAGAGGGGGGUAGAAUUCCACGUGUAGCAGUGAAAUGCGUAGAUAUGUGGAGGAACACCGAUGGCGAAGGCAGCCCCCUGGGUCAAAACUGACGCUCAUGCACGAAAGCGUGGGGAGCAAACAGGAUUAGAUACCCUAGU
rnacentral:rRNA from 1 species